rnacentral:rRNA from 1 species
CGCGUAGGCGGUUGAUUAAGUCGGAUGUGAAAGCCCUGGGCUUAACCUGGGAACUGCAUUCGAUACUGUUCGACUAGAGUACGAGAGAGGGAGGUAGAAUUCCACGUGUAGCGGUGAAAUGCGUAGAUAUGUGGAGGAAUACCGGUGGCGAAGGCGGCCUCCUGGCUCGAUACUGACGCUGAGGUGCGAAAGCGUGGGGAGCAAACA